CAGAUGACUUACAUAUGUUAACUAGUUUUCUCUGGAUGAUCUAAUCUUUGCUGAUGCUGCACAUAUGAGAUGGACCUAUGAUUCAUUGACUGCGAUGUGGAUACUGAACGUGAACUGCAAGUUCUAUAUAUGAAUACUUGAAUGCUGGUGCGAAUUUUGCUGCAGAAUAAUGAGGCAUGUGGAGAUGUUUUUAGCACAUGGGCACAUGACCGUAGCUGUGAAGUGGUUGCUGAUGCCUGUUCUGUUCUCUGAUUGGUUGGUGAUUAACUUUUGCAGUAUUAGGGAAUAAAUACUGCUACUGGGCUGUUGCUGCCCACUUUAUAUUAGUUGGGGUUAGCAAUUUUACUAGCUGUUGUGAGAUUGAUUGUCGCUGCCAAGCUGUGUUGCUUGCUUGCUUGCCA